UACGUAGGGGGCAAGCGUUGUCCGGAUUUAUUGGGCGUAAAGAGCGUGUAGGCGGCCUGGAAGGUCAGCUGUGAAAACUCGAGGCUCAACCUCGAGACGUCGGUUGAAACCACCUGGCUAGAGUCCGGAAGAGGAGUGUGGAAUUCCCGGUGUGGCGGUGGAAUGCGCAGAUAUCGGGAGGAACACCAAUAGCGAAGGCAGCUCGCUGGGACGGUACUGACGCUAAGGCGCGAAAGCGUGGGGAGCGAACAGG
rnacentral:rRNA from 1 species